AGUUUGAUCCUGGCUCAGGACGAACGUUGGCGGCGCGCAUAAUGCAUGCAAGUCGAACGAAGUCUUACCCUUCGGGGUUUGUACUUAGUGGCAGACGGCUGAGUAACACGUGAAUGAUCUGCCUUUGGGUGGGGGACAACAGAGAGAAAUUUCUGCUAAUACCCCAUGUGGUUUGCGGUCUAAGUGCCGUAAACGAAAGGAGCUGGGUAACUAGUUUCCGCCCUUAGAUGAGUUCGCGGCCUAUCAGGUAGUUGGUGGGGUAAUAGCCUACCAAGCCAAAGACGGGUAGCUGGUGUGAGAGCACGACCAGUCAGAGGGGGACUGAGACACGGCCCCCACUCCUACGGGAGGCAGCAGCAGGGAAUCUUCCACAAUGGGCGAAAGCCUGAUGGAGCGACGCCGCGUGAGGGAUGAAGGCUUUAGGGUCGUAAACCUCUUUUCUCAGGGAAGAGCAAGGACGGUACCUGAGGAAUAAGUGACGGCUAACUACGUGCCAGCAGCCGCGGUAAUACGUAGGUCACAAACGUUGUCCGGAAUUAUUGGGCGUAAAGGGUCCGUAGGCGGUUCGGUAAGUCUCCUGUGAAAUCUUCAGGCUCAACUUGAAGAGGUCGGGGGAUACUGCUGAACUAGAGACAGACAGAGGCAAAUGGAAUUCCCGGUGUAGUGGUGAAAUGCGUAGAUAUCGGGAGGAACACCAGUGGCGAAAGCGGUUUGCUGGGUCUGUUCUGACGCUGAGGGACGAAAGCGUGGGUAGCAAACCGGAUUAGAUACCCGGGUAGUCCACGCUGUAAACGAUGAAUACUAGGUUUUCGGGGUAUCGACCCCCUGUGAGCCGCAGCUAACGCAAUAAGUAUUCCGCCUGGGGACUACGGUCGCAAGACUAAAACUCAAAGGAAUUGACGGGGGCCCGCACAAGCAGCGGAGCGUGUGGUUUAAUUCGAUGUAAAGCGAGACCUUACCUAGGCUUGACAUGCAGAAUACUGAGUCGAAAGAANAAGGCA
rnacentral:rRNA from 1 species